rnacentral:tRNA from 1 species
GGUAGGAUGGCUGAAAGAAAAGCGGUGGAUUGUAGCCCCACAUAUAGAGGUUUAAGUCCUCUUCUUAUCA